GCAGCUCACCCACCCCGCCUCAUGGUUGAGGAUUUCUGCAUCAGCCACAGGCUGGAGCUGACAGUGCUUUCACAGGGGGGCAGGCUGGGUGUUCCAUCUUUGCAGGACAUCCUUUGUGUGGCCCAGCCGUGAGACACUGCCUCACUGGGGAAGGUGCUUCUGCUUUAGGGAAAACAGACCAUCGAUGGCCAGCAAAUGAUGUUUCCUUUGGACACACUAGUGAACAAUAAAAGAGGAUCCUUGGGCUGCUGAGAUGACUCAGUGGAUACAGCUGCUUGCUGCCAAGUGGGAUGACCUGAAUAUGAUCCCUGGAACCCACAUGGUGAAAGGAAGAAAACCAACUUCCACAAAGCUGUCCUCUGACUCCACACGUAUUCUGUGACAUGCAGACGUGCACCCGCGCACAUGCAUGCAUGCAUGCAUGCAGAAGCAAUAAAGACUACUGUUUGAACACUGUCCUGUAGAAGGCACAGACUGAGAUGCUGUGUCAACUGCGCAUGCCUGUCUUUGUGACUGGCUGCAUUAUCGAUCCUUCCGAGCCUGUGUGCCACGCUGGAAAGCUGGAUCUAAGAGUACUCUCUUCCCCAACUCAUAAUAAGGGAGAGCCUUGUCCUGUUGGUCCCCGCAG
rnacentral:lncRNA from 1 species